rnacentral:rRNA from 1 species
AUAUUGCGCAAUGGAGGAAACUCUGACGCAGCGACGCCGCGUGAGUGACGAAGGCCUUCGGGUUGUAAAGCUCUGUCAGCAGGGAAGAAAUACUAUGUGCUAAUACCACAUGGUGAUGACGGUACCUGCAGAGGAAGCACCGGCUAACUCUGUGCCAGCAGCCGCGGUAAUACAGAGGGUGCGAGCGUUGUUCGGAAUUACUGGGCGUAAAGCGCGUGUAGGCGGUUCGAUAAGUCAGAUGUGAAAUCCCGGGGCCUAACUCCGGAAGUGCAUUUGAAACUAUCGAGCUGGAGUGAUGUAGAGGAUGGCGGAAUACCCAGUGUAGAGGUGAAAUUCGUAGAGAUUGGGUAGAACACCGGUGGCGAAGGCGGCCAUCUGGGCAUUAACUGACGCUGAGACGCGAAAGCGUGGGGAGCAAACAGG